rnacentral:misc_RNA from 1 species
GAUGAAGAACGUAGCGAAAUGCGAUAAGUAAUGUGAAUUGCAGAAUUCAGUGAAUCAUCGAAUCUUUGAACGCACAUUGCGCCCGCCAGUAUUCUGGCGGGCAUGCCUGUUCGAGCGUCAUUUCAACCAUCAAGCCCCCGGGCUUGUGUUGGGGACCUGCGGCUGCCGCAGGCCCUGAAAAGCAGUGGCGGGCUCGCUGUCACACCGAGCGUAGUAGAUUUUAUCUCGCUCAGGGCGUGCUGCGGGUUCCGGCCGUUAAACCACCUUCAUAACCCAAGGUUGACCUCGGAUCAGGUAGGAAGACCCGCUGAACUUAAGCAUAUCAUAAGCGGAGGA